rnacentral:rRNA from 1 species
UACGGAGGAUGCGAGCGUUAUCCGGAUUUAUUGGGUUUAAAGGGUGCGUAGGCGGCUUAGUAAGUCAGCGGUGUAAAUUUUGCAGCUUAACUGUAACAGUGCCGUUGAUACUGCCAGGCUAGGAUUUGGUUGCUGUGGGUGGAAUGUGUGGUGUAGCGGUGAAAUGCUUAGAUAUUACAUGGAAUACCAAUUGCGAAGGCAGAUCACUAACAGUAUAUUGACGCUGAGGGACGAAAGCGUGGGUAGCGAACAGGAUUAGAUA